CUAUCGCUUCCAUCGCGCAAAAUAACAAUGGUUGAUCCUCUGCGCGCGUGUAAGGCGAUAACUACGAUUAAACAUCUAGAUAAUUGUGUAACAGUCGAGAAUUUUACAAACCAAAUAAAGAUAAAUUUCGAUAUUGAACUAAAAUAAUAACAAGAUUAUACCCAUCACACAAGUCGUAAUCAUAAAACGUAACAAACUGUAAAACGCAAUCAUAGUAUGAUUUAGCGUUGCAUAAAACUAUGUCCCCCUCCCCUUUUACCCCGCUAAUAAAUAAACGGAUCGUAGCCGAACAAACUUAGCCGAAAUGUUUAACAAAGAAAAAUAUUCUCGUUCUUCUUCUUAUACUACAAUUUAACCAGGCGGAACACGAGCGCAGAGGAUGCGCGAGAUCGAAAGGAACGAAAGGAAACGGUAAAGAAAAGAUCGCGAUACGCAGAGAUCCGUGCGAUGGAUUCGUCGUUUCCAUUUUGAAUCGUCGAAUGAAAAUGCCUUUGCAAUUUCAUUUCGUUCCCGUCUCGAGAGGAUCGUUGCAGAAUAAAUCGUCCUUUUUAUACAAGUUACAACAUAGUAAAUUUUGUGUGUGUGUGUGUGUGUGUGUGUGUGUAAGUGUAAUUAGCGAUAGCAGCAGCAGUAGUAAUGGUAGUACUAGUUGGUAGUAGUUUAAUUAGUUAAUAGUUAAUUAGUAAUAGUAAUAAUAAUAGCAGUAGUAGUACCCUAUGAAAAAAAUACAUAGAAAAACACGUGUCGGUAUAAUAUAUAUUUAUAUAUAACCUUCUUUUUAUAUCACGUUUUUUUGUUUUUCAUCUUUUUUGUAUGUAAUGCGCCCACGAUACUUUAUACAAGACAAGGUCGGUCAAGGGAGGAGGAGGGCGGCAACAGGAAGUGACAGAGGCUGAUGGAAGGGUAAAAAUGGUGAAGUGAGGUUGAAAAGUGGAAGGAUAAAAGGGGAGACACGGGCGAUUUCGCGGAAGGAGUUUCGCUUCGAUCUUUACUUCCGUUGACUAAACCGGCUUGCCAACAAAAACGAAUAAACGGCCGCUAGAUCUUUGAUUUGAUUCAAAUUUCGUUAACAAUUAACGUAUGCUUCUAUAAUUUUCAUCUAGAGUUUAAUAUCUUCUUACACUCUAUACAAAUAGUCAAGUGUUCAUUGAGAAUUGGUAGAAUAGAUUCACCCUAGACUACCAUUCUUCAGAUUUGAGGCCCUCACGAUGCGAUCAAUUAUUUCUCUUCGGCUUGUUAAAUUUAAAUUAAUCUUUGUCGUGUUCGCAUCUGACGAAUAUACAAUUAUAUUACAAAAUCGAAGUUAUAACGAACGAACGUAAUGAUAUGUAUAUGAUAUAAUGAAAUCUAACAUAAUAAAAAAGAAACGAGUCUAUAUUAUGAUGAUUCGAUGAUCGAAUUUCAAACGGAUAAUCAACGCUGUAGUUUGAAGGAAGUUUCUACAUUUCAAAUUCGAAAUUAGCGUCAUAAAUAAAAGCUAUCCAAUACAUACAUAAAGAUGAUAGUACCUACCCUUACUUAAUACGCGUUCUACAUGUACAUAUUAAUACAUGUAUGAGUGUACAAAAUUUGAAUCAAAUCGAUUAAUCAGCCGUCAUACACCUCAUCGUAAAUAAAACGGUCUCGACGACUUUCGAUUUUUUAUAUCCCAAACA
rnacentral:misc_RNA from 1 species